AGUUUCAGCUGAUGAGCAUAUCAAACUGUUUUCCAUGCAGAUUCCCUAUUCACCUGGAUGCCUUUCUGAGAGUUAGGACUCUUUGCAUAGAUGAGCUCUCCUGAUUGCCUGUUAUAAAAACAGGUGCUAAAAUAAACAAAUAGUGAUGGAGCACAGGAACUACCACUGCAGCACUCACAAGAGCGUGUCACAGCCUGGCCUAACCUUUGUCUUCUACCUAUUCCAGCAAGAAAAACAAGGAGCACCACAUGGUGUUCCAGGCUGUCACUGCACUCUUC